CUUAAUAGAUUUGGAUAAAAGGGUAUUUUUAAUGCUGUAUCAUACCCUAAAGG
rnacentral:sRNA from 1 species